rnacentral:rRNA from 1 species
UGGGGAAUAUUGCACAAUGGGGGAAACCCUGAUGCAGCGACGCCGCGUGAACGAAGAAGGUAUUCGUAUCGUAAAGUUCUGUCCUAUGGGAAGAUAAUGACAGUACCAUAGAAGAAAGCUCCGGCUAAAUACGUGCCAGCAGCCGCGGUAAUACGUAUGGAGCGAGCGUUGUCCGGAAUUAUUGGGCGUAAAGGGUACGCAGGCGGUUUAAUAAGUCGAAUGUUAAAGAUCGGGGCUCAACCCAGUAAAGCAUUGGAAACUGAUAAACUUGAGUAGUGGAGAGGAAAGUGGAAUUCCUAGUGUAGUGGUGAAAUACGUAGAUAUUAGGAGGAAUACCAGUAGCGAAGGCGACUUUCUGGACACAAACUGACGCUGAGGUACGAAAGCGUGGGGAGCAAACAGG